GAUGAACGCUAGCGGGAGGCUUAACACAUGCAAGUCGAGGGGUAAAUGGCAGCAAUGCUAUGAGACCGGCGGACGGGUGCGUAACGCGUAUGCAACAUACCUUGUGCAGGGGGAUAGCCCGUGGAAACGCGGAUUAAUAUUCCGUAGUCCAGCUGUAUCGCAUGGUAUAGUUGGUAAAGAUUUAUCGGCACAAGUUUGGCAUGCGUCUGAUUAGCUUGUUGGUAGGGUAACGGCCUACCAAGGCUACGAUCAGUAGGGGUUCUGAGAGGAUUAACCCCCACACUGGUACUGAGACACGGACCAGACUCCUACGGGAGGCAGCAGUGAGGAAUAUUGGUCAAUGGGCGGAAGCCUGAACCAGCCAUCCCGCGUGAAGGAAGACAGCCUUACGGGUUGUAAACUUCUUUUCUGUCAGAAGAAUAAGCUUGUCGAGACGAGUGAUGCCGGUAUGACAGGAAUAAGCAUCGGCUAACUCCGUG
rnacentral:rRNA from 1 species